rnacentral:rRNA from 1 species
UCGGGAAUUUUGGGCAAUGGGCGAAAGCCUGACCCAGCAACGCCGCGUGAGGGAUGAAGUAUUUCGGUAUGUAAACCUCGAAAGAAUGGGAAGAAUAAAUGACGGUACCAUUAUAAGCUCCGGCUAACUACGUGCCAGCAGCCGCGGUAAUACGUAGGGAGCAAGCGUUGUUCGGAUUUACUGGGCGUAAAGGGCGCGUAGGCGGCGCGGUUAGUCACUUGUGAAAUCUCUGAGCUUAACUCAGAACGGCCAAGUGAUACUGCUGUGCUAGAGUGCGGAAGAGGCAACCGGAAUUCUUGGUGUAGCGGUGAAAUACGUAGAUAUCAAGAGGAACACCUGAGGCGAAGGCGGGUUGCUGGGCCGACACUGACGCUGAUGCGCGAAAGCCAGGGGAGCAAACG